CAAGGAAUAGUUUAGAAAGAAUACCAGCUUUGGGUGUUGGUGGUGGAACGCUAGUUUCUUCCUUGA
rnacentral:tRNA from 1 species